UGGGGAAUUUUGGACAAUGGGCGAAAGCCUGAUCCAGCAAUGCCGCGUGUGUGAAGAAGGCCUUCGGGUUGUAAAGCACUUUUGUCCGGAAAGAAAUCCUUGGCUCUAAUACAGUCGGGGGAUGACGGUACCGGAAGAAUAAGCACCGGCUAACUACGUGCCAGCAGCCGCGGUAAUACGUAGGGUGCAAGCGUUAAUCGGAAUUACUGGGCGUAAAGCGUGCGCAGGCGGUUUGCUAAGACCGAUGCGAAAUCCCCGGGCUCAACCUGGGAACUGCAUUGGUGACUGGCAGGCUAGAGUAUGGCAGAGGGGGGUAGAAUUCCACGUGUAGCAGUGAAAUGCGUAGAGAUGUGGAGGAAUACCGAUGGCGAAGGCAGCCCCCUGGGCCAAUACUGACGCUCAUGCACGAAAAGCGUGGGGAGCAAACAGGAUUAGAUACCCUGGUAGUCCACGCCCUAAACGAUGUCAACUAGUUGUUGGGGAUUCAUUUCCUUAGUAACGUAGCUAACGCGUGAAGUUGACCGCCUGGGGAGUACGGUCGCAAGAUUAAAAACUCAAAUGAAUUGACGGGGUCAU
rnacentral:rRNA from 1 species